GGUUAAGCGACUAAGCGUACACGGUGGAUGCCUAGGCAAUCAGAGGCGAUGAAGGACGUGCUAAUCUGCGAUAAGCGUCGGUAAGGUGAUAUGAACCGUUACAACCGACGAUUUCCGAAUGGGGAAACCCAGUGCAAU
rnacentral:rRNA from 1 species